rnacentral:rRNA from 1 species
CAGCCGCCGCGGGAAUACAGAGGGUGCGAGCGUUAAUCGGAUUUACUGGGCGUAAAGCGUGCGUAGGCGGCUUCUUAAGUCGGAUGUGAAAUCCCCGAGCUUAACUUGGGAAUUGCAUUCGAUACUGGUUAGCUAGAGUGUGGGAGAGGAUGGUAGAAUUCCAGGUGUAGCGGUGAAAUGCGUAGAGAUCUGGAGGAAUACCGAUGGCGAAGGCAGCCAUCUGGCCUAACACUGACGCUGAGGUACGAAAGCAUGGGGAGCAAACAGGAUUAGAUACCCGCGUAGUCCCUGUCUCUUAUAC